rnacentral:sRNA from 1 species
UGGACGAAUUUCACUUUUUGUGCCUUGU